rnacentral:rRNA from 1 species
GACGAACCGUGCGAACGUUGUUCGGAAUCACUGGGCUUAAAGGGCGCGUAGGCGGGUGACCAAGUCCGGGGUGAAAUCUUUCGGCUCAACCGGAAAAUAGCCUUGGAUACUGGUCGUCUGGAGGGAGGUAGGGGCAUGCGGAACUUCCGGUGGAGCGGUGAAAUGUGUUGAUAUCGGAAGGAACGCCGGUGGCGAAAGCGGCGUGCUGGACCUCUUCUGACGCUGAGGCGCGAAAGCUAGGGGAGCGAACGGG